rnacentral:misc_RNA from 1 species
AGCAGCCGCGGUAAUUCCAGCUCCAAUAGCGUAUAUUAAAGUUGUUGCAGUUAAAAAGCUCGUAGUUGAAUUUCGGGAUCAAUAUGUUGGUCGUGCCUCGGUACGUACUAGCAUAUUGGUUCUCCUUUCUGAAGAACCAUGAUGCCAUUUAUUUGGUGUCGUGGGGAAUCAGGACUGUUACUUUGAAAAAUUAGAGUGUUUAAAGCAGGCUCACGCUUGAAUACAUUAGCAUGGAAUAAUGAAAUAGGACGUUUGAUUCUAUUUUGUUGGUUUCUAGGAUCGACGUAAUGAUUAAUAGGGAUAGUUGGGGGCAUUAGUAUUCAAUUGUCAGAGGUGAAAUUCUUGGAUUUAUUGAAGACUAACUACUGCGAAAGCAUUUGCCAAGGAUGCUUUCAUUAAUCAAGAACGAAAGUUAGGGGAUCGAAGACGAUCAGAUACCGUCGUAGUCUUAACCAUAAACUAUGCCGACUAGGGAUCGGAUGAUGUUAAUUUUUAAUGUACUCAUUCGGUCCG